rnacentral:rRNA from 1 species
AUUGAACGCUGGCGGCAUGCCUUACACAUGCAAGUCGAACGGUAACAGGUCUUCGGAUGCUGACGAGUGGCGAACGGGUGAGUAAUACAUCGGAACGUGCCCGAUCGUGGGGGAUAACGGAGCGAAAGCUUUGCUAAUACCGCAUACGAUCUACGGAUGAAAGCAGGGGACCGCAAGGCCUUGCGCGGACGGAGCGGCCGAUGGCAGAUUAGGUAGUUGGUGGGAUAAAAGCUUACCAGGCCGACGAUCUGUAGCUGGUCUGAGAGGACGACCAGCCACACUGGGACUGGGACACGGCCCAGACUCCUACGGGAGGCAGCAGUGGGGAAUUUUGGACAAUGGGCGCAAGCCUGAUCCAGCCAUGCCGCGUGCAGGAUGAAGGCCUUCGGGUUGUAAACUGCUUUUGUACGGAACGAAAAGACUCUUUCUAAUAAAGAGGGUCCAUGACGGUACCGUAAGAAUAAGCACCGGCUAACUACGUGCCAGCAGCCGCAGUAAAAC